AACGAACGCUGGCGGCAGGCCUAACACAUGCAAGUCGAGCGAGGACUUCGGUUCUAGCGGCGGACGGGUGAGUAACGCGUGGGAAUGUGCCCUUCUCUACGGAAUAGCCCUGGGAAACUGGGAGUAAUACCGUAUACGCCCUAUUGGGGAAAGAUUUAUCGGAGAAGGAUCAGCCCGCGUUGGAUUAGGUAGUUGGUGGGGUAAUGGCCUACCAAGCCGACGAUCCAUAGCUGGUUUGAGAGGAUGAUCAGCCACACUGGGACUGAGACACGGCCCAGACUCCUACGGGAGGCAGCAGUGGGGAAUCUUAGACAAUGGGGGCAACCCUGACGUAGCCAUGCCGCGUGAGUGAUGAAGGCCUUAGGGUUGUAAAGCUCUUUCAGCUGGGAAGAUAAUGACGGUACCCGCAGAAGAAGCCCCGGCUAACUCCGUG
rnacentral:rRNA from 1 species